rnacentral:rRNA from 1 species
AACGAACGCUGGCGGCAUGCCUAACACAUGCAAGUCGAACGAGACCUUCGGGUCUAGUGGCGCAAGGGUGCGUAACGCGUGGGAACCUGCCCUUAGGUUCGGAAUAACUCCCCGAAAGGGGUGCUAAUACCGGAUAAUUUCUUCGGACCAAAGAUUUAUCGCCUUUGGAUGGGCCCGCGUUGGAUUAGCUAGUUGGUAGGGUAAAAGCCUACCAAGGCGACGAUCCAUAGCUGGUCUGAGAGGAUGAUCAGCCACACUGGGACUGAGACACGGCCCAGACUCCUACGGGAGGGAGGAGAGGGGAAUAUUGGACAAUGGGCGAAAGGAUGAUGCAGCAAUGCCGCGUGAGUGAUGAAGGCAUUAGGGUUGUAAAGCGCUUUUAACCGGGAUGAUAAUGACAGUACCGGGAGAAUAAGCCCCGGCUAACUCCGUG